rnacentral:rRNA from 1 species
CCUACGGAAGGCUGCAGUGGGGAAUAUUGGGCAAUGGGCGCAAGCCUGACCCAGCAACGCCGCGUGAGGGAAGAAGGCUUUCGGGUUGUAAACCUCUGUCCUUGGUGACGAAACAAAUGACGGUAGCCAAGGAGGAAGCCCCGGCUAACUACGUGCCAGCAGCCGCGGUAAUACGUAGGGGGCGAGCGUUGUCCGGAAUUACUGGGCGUAAAGGGUGCGUAGGUGGCCUUUUAAGUUGGAUGUGAAAUACCCGGGCUUAACUUGGGGGGUGCAUCUAAUACUGGAGGGCUAGAGUGCAGGAGAGGAAAGCGGAAUUCCUAGUGUAGCGGUGAAAUGCGUAGAUAUUAGGAGGAACACCAGUGGCGAAGGCGGCUUUCUGGACUGUAACUGACACUGAGGCACGAAAGCGUGGGGAGCAAACA